rnacentral:snRNA from 1 species
AUCGCUUCUCGGCCUUUUGGCUAAGAUCAUGUGUAGUAUCUGUUCUUAUCAGUUUAAUAAAUGAGGAAAUAGUGGCUCAAGGUCAGAUAACCAGUAAACGUCAGCACCAGCUCCCUCAAGCACAAACUUUCACUCUUUCUAGGUGUAAACUUUUGUUUAAAAAGCAGUAGACUCUUUUACAGGAUAUGCUAUUAUUAUUAUUAUUAUUAUUAUUAUUAAUUAUUAUCCUUA